rnacentral:rRNA from 1 species
CGCGUAGGGUGCGAGUGUUGUCCGGAAUUAUUGGGCGUAAAGAGCUCGUAGGCGGUGUGUCGCGUCGGCCGUGAAAACCUGCAGCUUAACUGUGGGCGUGCGGUCGAUACGGGCAUCACUGGAGUUCGGCAGGGGAGACUGGAAUUCCUGGUGUAGCGGUGAAAUGCGCAGAUAUCAGGAGGAACACCGGUGGCGAAGGCGGGUCUCUGGGCCGAUACUGACGCUGAGGAGCGAAAGCGUGGGGAGCGAACAGG